CCUGCGAAUCUGAAUGAAUCUUGGAUUAUGAUCAACUCUUUGAUCCUUUUCUUGAGCUUCUUCUUCUCUUCUUCUCUUGCUUUUCUUCAUUAGAUUAUGCUGCUACCAUGGAGUGGAAACCAGCACACAAGGGAUGCCCAACAGCCCUUGGGCGUGGAAGAGAGAGGAUGCCCAAAAGGGGUGGGGCGUUUGGACGUCCAAGGAAGAAGAGAGAG
rnacentral:lncRNA from 1 species